CCUACGGGUGGCAGCAGUGAGGAAUAUUGGUCAAUGGACGAGAGUCUGAACCAGCCAAGUAGCGUGAAGGAUGACUGCCCUAUGGGUUGUAAACUUCUUUUAUAUGGGAAUAAAACGUUCCACGUGUGGGAUUUUGUAUGUACCAUAUGAAUAAGGAUCGGCUAACUCCGUGCCAGCAGCCGCGGUAAUACGGAGGAUCCGAGCGUUAUCCGGAUUUAUUGGGUUUAAAGGGUGCGUAGGUGGAUUGUUAAGUCAGUUGUGAAAGUUUGGGGCUCAACCGUAAAAUUGCAGUUGAAACUGGCAGUCUUGAGUACAGUAGGGGUGGGCGGAAGUCGUGGUGUAGCGGUGAAAUGCUUAGAUAUCACGAAGAACUCCGAUUGCGAAGGCAGUUCACUGGACUGCAACUGACACUGAGGCUCGAAAGUGUGGGUAUCAAACAGGAUUAGAUACCCGUGUAGUC
rnacentral:rRNA from 1 species